GUGCUCCCUUCAGCAGCACAUACACUAAAACUGGAGCAAUACAGAGAAGAUUAGCGUGGCUGCUGUGCAAGGCUGACACACAAAUUUGUGAAGGGUUCCAUAUUAAA